rnacentral:rRNA from 1 species
AAGUAAAAGUCGUAACAAGGUUUCCGUAGGUGAACCUGCGGAAGGAUCAUUAUUGAAAUAAACCUGAUGGGUUGUUGCUGGUUCUCUAGGGAGCAUGUGCACACCUUGUCAUCUUUAUAUCUCCACCUGUGCACUUUUUGUAGACCUUUCAGGUCUAUGUUGCUUCAUUUACCCCCAAUGUAUGUUAAUAGAAUGUUGUGCCUAUGAAAAUAUAUACAACUUUCAGCAACGGAUCUCUUGGCUCUCGCAUCGAUGAAGAACGCAGCGAAAUGCGAUAAGUAAUGUGAAUUGCAGAAUUCAGUGAAUCAUCGAAUCUUUGAACGCACCUUGCGCUCCUUGGUAUUCCGAGGAGCAUGCCUGUUUGAGUGUCAUUAAUAUAUCAACCUUCUCUUGUUGAGUGGUUUGGAUGUGGGGGUUUGCUGGCCUCUUGAAAGAGGUUAUAGCUCUCCUGAAAUGCAUUAGCGGAACAACCCUGUUCAUUGGUGUGAUAACUAUCUACGCUAUUGAAUGUGAAGGGCAGUUUGGCUUUCUAACAGUCCUUGGACAAAGCUCAUCAUUAAUGUGACCUCAAAUCAGGUAGGACUACCCGCUGAACUUAAGCAUAUCAA